AGCGAACGCUGGCGGCAGGCCUAACACAUGCAAGUCGAACGAACCUUUCGGGGUUAGUGGCGGACGGGUGAGUAACACGUGGGAACGUGCCUUUAGGUUCGGAAUAACUCAGGGAAACUUGUGCUAAUACCGAAUGUGCCCUCGGGGGAAAGAUUUAUCGCCUUUAGAGCGGCCCGCGUCUGAUUAGCUAGUUGGUUGAGGUAAUGGCUCACCAAGGCGACGAUCAGUAGCUGGUCUGAGAGGAUGAUCAGCCACAUUGGGACUGAGACACGGCCCAAACUCCUACGGGAAGCAGCAGUGGGGAAUCUUGCGCAAUGGGCGAAAGCCUGACGCAGCCAUGCCGCGUGAAUGAUGAAGGUCUUAGGAUUGUAAAAUUCUUUCACCGGGGACGAUAAUGACGGUACCCGGAGAAGAAGCCCCGGCUAACUUCGUG
rnacentral:rRNA from 1 species